rnacentral:lncRNA from 1 species
GUGUGUGUCAGGUCUGGGGUGAAGACCACAUUUCCCCACUGCACCUUGAAGCUUCCCAGGCCGCUCGAUGUCACAAGCCACACUCCCAGGACCUCCAGACAAGGCCAUAUGACACUCCGGGUGUUCAGCUGCAAAUAGAAAUGUCCAAUGUAUUAGAAGGGGGCUAGCGGGCAUCAUCUGGCUGUGCAUUCCUGUAGCCACUCCUCCAGGAUGGCUCUGGACGUCGGGGAGGGCAUGCGACACCCACUCCACAGGACUGGUUAGUGACUGUCAUGCUGGUGUUGGUCCAAGUGAUUAUUUUCCUGCCAAGACUCUCUCUGGCCCAGAAGCCCAGCUCCUACACAUUGGAAAUGAUUCAGCCAAGCAACUGCCCUGCAUGUAACAAGGGCGGACAACUAAGUGGGAGAAAGUCACGGUCAGCACACAAAUCUUGUUAAAAGACACAGGAUCCAGACGCCAGGAAAAACAUAAAGGGCCACAUAAAAAAAAAAAAAAAAAAGCAAUUUUUUGCAUGUUAAAAAAACCUAUAAAAUCAAAAGAAAAGUUGCAAGUUGGGAGAAAUAACAACAUCUGAGUCACCCUGCCUCGGUGAGGAUGUGGAAAACGUACUUGUGUUUGGUGGGCAAAGAGCCCUUUCUGCAGGGCAGUUAUCUGCAUCAACAUCCAAAGUAUCUUUACCUUGUGACUUAGAGUUAGUGGGAGUUGUGUGCACAGGUGACGCCUGCCCAAGGGCGUCCAGUGUGACUGUCACAGGGGACUGUUCAGAUAGCAGGAAAGAGGACUCUGGCACGCAGGCCCCCUGGCCUGUGCACCAGGCCCGUGGUGUGAAGAUGGUGACGGCCAUUCAGAAGGACGAGUAGGUCCGUAAGUGCCAACGUGGUUCUCCUUAAGAGGCAAAGGCGUAGGACCAGUACAGAACCAGAUGUGGUCAGUGCCGUGUGAGGGGAUGGGUAUGCAUGACACUGAUGUGUGUACACCCUCCACUCUGUCCCCGUCCUCCCCCUGCCCGCCCACAAAUAGCCCCCAAGGAUGAGCCUGCCUUCCUAUCUUGACUGACACUCCUGGGGAGGGACCUACUUUAUAAGAAGGAAAAUCUACAGGGUCAUUUUUUUUUUAAUUAUUUUUUUUGUCUUUUGUCUUUUUAGGGCCACACCCG